rnacentral:tRNA from 1 species
GCCACUGUGGUGGAAUAGGUAGACAUAGUAGGUUUAAAACCUGCGGGCGUGGCCAUAUGAGUUCAAAUCUCAUCAGUGGUA